rnacentral:rRNA from 1 species
UACAGAGGGUGCGAGCGUUGUCCGGAAUCACUGGGCGUAAAGGGCGCGUAGGCGGCUUGAUAAGGUUGCGGUGAAAGCCCGGGGCUCAACCCCGGGAGGCGGGCGGAUACUGUCGGGCUAGAGUCCGGAAGAGGCGAGUGGAAUUCCUGGUGUAGCGGUGAAAUGCGCAGAUAUCAGGAGGAACACCAAUGGCGAAGGCAGCUCGCUGGGACGGUACUGACGCUGAGGCGCGAAAGCGUGGGGAGCAAACAGG